UACGUAGGGGGCAGGCGUUGUCCGGAUUUAUUGGGCGUAAAGAGCGUGUAGGCGGCCAAACAGGUCAGCUGUGAAAACUCGAGGCUCAACCUCGAGACGUCGGUUGAAACCGUUUGGCUAGAGUCCGGAAGGGGAGAGUGGAAUUCCCGGUGUAGCGGUGAAAUGCGCAGAUAUCGGGAAGAACACCCGUGGCGAAGGCGGCUCUCUGGGACGGUACUGACGCUGAGACGCGAAAGCGUGGGGAGCGAACGGG
rnacentral:rRNA from 1 species